rnacentral:rRNA from 1 species
GCCGUGAGGCCGGGCAAAUCCCAAAAAAGGCGUCCCAGUUCGGACUGCAGUCUGCAACCCGACUGCACGAAGCCGGAAUCGCUAGUAAUCGCGGAUCAGAAUGCCGCGGUGAAUACGUUCCCGGGCCUUGUACACACCGCCCGUCACACCAUGGGAGUCGGAAAUGCCCGAAGCCAGUGACCCAACCUUUAAGGAGGGAGCUGUCGAAGGCAGGUCUGGUAACUGGGUGAAGUCGUAACAAGGUACC